ACGAGAAUCUGUGGAAAGAGGAUUCGUCCAAUUGAAGCAGAGGACAGUGGCGGACGGGUGAGUAACGCGUGAGGAACCUGCCUUUCAGAGGGGGACAACAGUUGGAAACGACUGCUAAUACCGCAUGACACAUAGGUGUCGCAUGGCACUUAUGUCAAAGAUUUAUCGCUGAAAGAUGGCCUCGCGUCUGAUUAGCUAGUUGGUGAGGUAACGGCCCACCAAGGCGACGAUCAGUAGCCGGACUGAGAGGUUGAACGGCCACAUUGGGACUGAGAUACGGCCCAGACUCCUACGGGAGGCAGCAGUGGGGAAUAUUGGGCAAUGGGCGCAAGCCUGACCCAGCAACGCCGCGUGAAGGAAGAAGGCUUUCGGGUUGUAAACUUCUUUUGUCAGGGACGAGUAGAAGACGGUACCUGACGAAUAAGCCACGGCUAACUACGUGCCAGCAGCCGCGGUAAUACGUAGGUGGCAAGCGUUGUCCGGAUUUACUGGGUGUAAAGGGCGUGUAGCCGGGAGGGCAAGUCAGAUGUGAAAUCCACGGGCUCAACUCGUGAACUGCAUUUGAAACUACUCUUCUUGAGUAUCGGAGAGGCAAUCGGAAUUCCUAGUGUAGCGGUGAAAUGCGUAGAUAUUAGGAGGAACACCAGU
rnacentral:rRNA from 1 species